rnacentral:snRNA from 1 species
GUACUUGCUUCGGCAGUUUAUAUACUAAAAUUGGAACGAUACAGAGAAGAUUAGCAUAGCCCCUGCGCAAGGAUUACACGCAAAAUCGUGAAGCGUUCCACUAGUAU